GGAUGUGAGGGCGAUCUGGCUGCAACAUCUGUCACCCCAUUGAUCGCCAGGGUUGAUUCGGCUGAUCUGGCUGGCUAGGCGGGUGUCCCCUUCCUCCCUCACCACUCCAUGUGCGUCCCUCCCGAAGCUCCGCGCUCGGUCGAGGAGGACGACCUUCCCCGAUAGAGGAGGACCGUUCUUCGGUCAAGGGUAUACGAGUAGCUGCGCUCCCCUGCUAGAACCUCCAAACAAGCUCUCAAAUCGUAAGUAGACUGAAUCUUACCAAAAUCAUAUCUCAACUGCCAACUCCCAGAGCUUAGUC
rnacentral:snRNA from 1 species